CUUUGCCUCUUAAUCUGGUCAGAGUAUGAAUGAAUGCAGUUCACCAAAGAAGCAAUACUGAAAGUAUUCUCCAAGUUAGCACUUCUGAUACUGAAAGGCUGCUCUCAGAUCUCCCGGAGCCUUAUCCAGGCUGAACAGCCCCAGCUCUCAGCCUGUCCUCGUAUGGGAGGUGUUCCAAACCAGACUGAAUUCAUUUAGUGUCACUGACCAGGAAAGAGAAGCCUGAGAUGAAAUGUCCCAGAAAUAGUGAGUGAAGGAAGAACUACUUGGAGUGCUGCAAAAUGUUUUCAAGGACAUACCUAAAAAGGCAGGAAAUUUUGGACACUAGUUCUCAAGAGUGUAAUUCCCCUCAAACAUCAUAUAGGAAAUGCUCAUGGAUAGAACAUCUGCUUCUACGGCUGUUCUGCAUCCCCCAGUGAGAGGAUACACCUCAAAAGGUCCAAGAGCGUAUAGGCAGAUUUUCAGUUCUCACCAGAGAUACAUUUGUGCAUCAUUAUUUAUUUAACUUUAACCUUACUGCAUGUCAUAAAUCUUUGACAGGUGGGUUAAAGAUGAGUUUUCCACAUGUUUUCUCAGGAAUUGCUUUGUAAACCAUGAAGUGCAAAGGUCACAGUCAUGUUAGUUACCACAAGCUUGCUCUCAGACCUAAUCUAGGAAAACCAAAGCUGCAAACAGGAGGGCAUCUUGGUUCAAUGAUGCUAUUAUUU
rnacentral:lncRNA from 1 species